rnacentral:rRNA from 1 species
CACAAGUUAUGUUGUGUUAUCGACAAGUGAAUUCAUAGCUUGUCAGAAGGCAGACCCGGAGAACUGAAACAUCUUAGUACCCGGAGGAAGAGAAAGAAAAUUCGAUUCCCUGAGUAGCGGCGAGCGAAACGGGAAGAGCCCAAACCAAUAAGCUUGCUUAUUGGGGUUGUAGGACACUCUAUACGGAGUUACAAAGGAAUAUAUUAAACGAAUCAUCUGGAAAGUUGAAUCAAAGAAGGUAAUAAUCCUGUAGUUGAAAAUAUAUUCUCUCUUGAGUGGAUCCUGAGUACGACGGAGCACGUGAAAUUCCGUCGGAAUCUGGGAGGACCAUCUCCUAAGGCUAAAUACUCUCUAGUGACCGAUAGUGAACCAGUACCGUGAGGGAAAGGUGAAAAGUACCCCGGAAGGGGAGUGAAAGAGAACUUGAAACCGUGUGCUUACAAGUAGUCAGAGCCCGUUAAUGGGUGAUGGCGUGCCUUUUGUAGAAUGAACCGGCGAGUUACGAUCUGAUGCAAGGUUAAGCAGAAAAUGUGGAGCCGUAGCGAAAGCGAGUCUGAAUAGGGCGUAUAGUAUUUGGUCGUAGACCCGAAACCAGGUGAUCUACCCAUGGUCAGGUUGAAGUUCAGGUAACACUGAAUGGAGGACCGAACCGACUUACGUUGAAAAGUGAGCGGAUGAACUGUGGGUAGCGGAGAAAUUCCAAUCGAACUUGGAGAUAGCUGGUUCUCUCCGAAAUAGCUUUAGGGCUAGCCUCAAGUGAUGAUUAUUGGAGGUAGAGCACUGUUUGGACGAGGGGCCCCUCUCGGGUUACCGAAUUCAGACAAACUCCGAAUGCCAAUUAAUUUAACUUGGGAGUCAGAACAUGGGUGAUAAGGUCCGUGUUCGAAAGGGAAACAGCCCAGACCACCAGCUAAGGUCCCAAAAUAUAUGUUAAGUGGAAAAGGAUGUGGCGUUGCCCAGACAACUAGGAUGUUGGCUUAGAAGCAGCCAUCAUUUAAAGAGUGCGUAAUAGCUCACUAGUCGAGUGACACUGCGCCGAAAAUGUACCGGGGCUAAACAUAUUACCGAAGCUGUGGAUUGUCCUUUGGACAAUGGUAGGAGAGCGUUCUAAGGGCGUUGAAGCAUGAU